UGAACAUCUGUAUGAAAGGACAAACCCAAGACACCCUGGGUUGUGUUCCUGUCCAGAGAGCAAGUUCUCCCUCAGGGUGGCUGUAGAGCAAUCCCUGUGUAGCUGAUGUCCAACUUCACAGUCCUGGAUGAUCUGUCAUUGGUCCCAAAGGAAACCCAUUGUUCUCUUUCCUGGUGUGUUCCCAGAAGACAAGAGUAACUAUUUACUCCAGCCUGGAGAAAGUCUUGCAGGGGGACACACAGGGCCUGGAUAGGAGCCUUGUCAGGAGGAUCAUCUACUUGGCCUCCGAAGACAUGAGGGAGACCCAGAGUCUGAGCCAGAUCUUGGAGGUGGCCUAUGAUUUUCAGGUCCCUCUCCCCAGUGGGAAACUUGAGAGCAUCUGCUUUGCCCUGCACACCCAGCCAAACUUCCUAAGGCCCAGGGGCUGCUGGUGUGACUCCUGGAAAUCCUGAGAUCUCCCAGGACAAUAUAUGGCAGGAGCACAUACUGCUGAAGAAUUUCCUAUCUAAGGCACUUGAUACCACAUUGGACUCUUGCCAGGAUGUUGCCCAUGUGAAAUCCCAGCUCCAGAAAUCUCUGAAGAUCACAGAUUGCAUGGAAGCUUGAGAGAGCAAGUCUUGACCAUCCUGGCAUUCUCAGCCAAGGGCCACCUGGACCUCACCCUGGGCACACUGGAGGACUUUGGUGCUGCCAUGAGUAAAGUGCAGGCAUCCUUAUGGAGUAUGCUACCCCAGGGAGUGCCAAAUGGAUAGAUGUUGCCCACCUGAUGAACUGUAAGUCAGAAAUCCAGACCCUGCACUUCCCUUCUGGAGCCCAGAAGGAGCUGAGAAGAGCAGGGACUGACUCAUCCUCCUCCUUUGGAGCCUAGUGUAUCCGCUUUGCCCUGAGGAUAAUCUACGAGAGCCUUGCCUGGAGCAGGCAGCUCACAUUCCCCUGGAGCAGCAGGGAGGAGCUGAAUCUGUGCAUCUCCUGCCUGUCCUGCCCAGGCCCCUCCCCAGUCACAGCUGCCUAGGCUCUGGCCUCCCUUGGCUUCCUGAGGUCCCUCAAGCUGGGGAAAGUUGUAGCCACUGGGUACCACUGCCAAUCCUCCCCUGAGCAGCCUGUCUGUUAGGUUCCUUCAUCAGGUGCAAACCAACAUGAACCAGGCCUGUUCCACACCAGGUCUGAGUGCCCAGUGACAUCCCUUUGGCAAUGUCAGCUCUUGGGGAGGUUUCUGGUGAGAAAGGCAGGAGAAUCUUGUCAGUGGAAGCUGUUGGGAAUCUCAACCUUCUUCCACGGGCAGCAGAGCUGCUCAGUUCCCAGCAGAACCAGCAUCUCCCCUCAGCUGGGAAUGCAGGAAGCUCCCAAAGGAGGAGCCACAGCCAUAUCUGUGUGGGAGAAUUUCUGUAGCUUGGGACCCAGAGAGACUACAGUCUGUGGCUGUUUGAGACACUGGUGAUGAGAUGAUGGGAGCAACACUGCAUCCAGUGUGGAAUGCCCACCUGCACAUCAUGCCUGACCCUGUUCCCCAGGGAUGACCUUGGUCUGGCACUGCCAGCAUGUGUGACCAGUGUUCCCCUGAGGUGGAAGUGUCCAUUCACUAAUGUCUCCCUCUCUUCUUCCAGCUCUGCAAACUCUGGAAAAGGACACAUCUCAGGAGGUCCAAGAUGUGGCCACUCAUGUCACAGAGGCUAUUUCUAAAAGCCCUUGGGGCAGGACAUUGCAAGAGGAGGAAAGCCAUGGGCGUACUCUGCCCUAGAUCAUUUCAUUACUUUGUUUUGGGUGCCUGAGGCCCCAUUCCAUGUAAAAGCAAGCUUCUGUGUUUGAUCAUAAAUUGUGUUCUGCAUUCUUCUGGCUGUUAUUGCUUCUCUCCUCCUGAACACAGCAAAGAGAGAGGAGGGUGAAGCCUUGUAGCUUUAGGAGUGUGUGUCUGCUUGGUUUGGGCUUUAUAGUCAGGUUUGGGUAUCUUGCCUUGUGGUGGGGUUGUGUGGGCAGUGAGCUGGGCACUGCUGCUGAGGGCAUAGGUGUUACCACAUGUUAACCAGGAGGUGGGGCUCUGCCAGGCAGACAGGCUAGGUACAUACAUUGGGGGAGGUUAGGGGGAGGAUAGAUUGGGUUAAAAAUGGCCACCCAAUCUAACUUAGUUCACCCAGAUGCUGACCUUACACUUAGAUUGACCUAACUAUGGAUCUAAUUGUGAAGUGUACAGAAGUUCAAGAAGUUUAGAUUGGUCUAAAAAUGGCCAACCUGAUCAAAGUUAACCCUGCUUCUGAGGUGGUCUAACUUAGAUCAGGCCUGACAAGACCAAUCUAAGUGAACUUCUGUACAGUUCCCAGCACAGCCCCAGGGUUUAGAAAGCCCAGCCACUGGCCCCAGCCCCAGGGCUGCUCUUUUACUAGCCCCAACCCCUGACACCAGGGGGUCUUUAAGAAGCGGCUUGAUGCCUACCUGACUGGGGUCAAUUGAGCCCAGUUUUCCUCCUGCCCAGGCAGGGGUCGGACUUGAAGAUCAACAAGGUCCCUUCCGAUCCUAGUUCUAUGAUUCUAUGAUUCUAUGAUUUUUAGCCCCCUAACCCAUGCCCCCCACACCACCACUCACGAACUAUCCAGCCACCCUAGACUGCCAAACCCUAGACAGCAGCAGUGGGGCAAAGCCCGCAGCAGCAGCCCACCUCUGCCCUCCAGACAAACCUGGGAGGCAUGUGCACAGUGUGCAGUGGCGGGAGUGCCCCUGUACCCUUGGACAAGCCUCCCGGGCUCUGAGCAUCCCACAACCUACCCUGAGGCCCCAUUCACCCCAGCCCCUGCCCCUGCCCCUGCCCCUGCCCCUGCCCCUGCCAGUGUCUCCAGAGAAUAAGCAUCGGCAUCUGCGUUCUCUUUGAAAGGAGUUUUGAAACACGGGUAGGGCAGGCAUAAGCAAUCACAAGCUCAGGUGGGCAGGAAAAGGGAUUUCUGCCUUACAAAUGAAAAACUGAGAUCUAAAAAUGCUUCCUCUUCUGCAUCAGGAUGAAACUGUGACCUGAGGAAAUGUAGUGCAGUAGUCCUGUCACUGCAGGCUGGGAGAUCCUGAAUCUAGCUGCACCCAAGCCAUAGAUUUCCCUGCCUUGAAUAUAUUCUCUGAAGCUGGUGCCUCUCUAGACAGGCCCCCUAACCCUGUGCCACACUCAGAGACAGACUCUGGGGUGUGAUGUUAUGCAGUUACACGUUAGAAGACAGACAGCCUUUGCUCUGAAGAGCCUUUGUUUUCCAUUGGGCGUUUUGCCCAUACUGAGGAAGGGAGGUUAGCCUUGGAGACAGAGCAUAGGGCCCAGCAAUCAGAACUCUAGGUUCACAAGUUAUUGGGCUCAGUACAGUUAAUUACUGUAUACUGGGUGACCUUUUCUGGCUUGUGCUAGGCAGGAGGUCAGAGCAGCUAAUCACAAUCAAGCCUUCUAGCCUUAAAAUCUAUUAGCAGCAAAAUCUGCAGAACACAGGAUUUCUUGCCCUUUCCCCCUUUGGUGCCAAGUUCUAAACAGUGUCCCACAUGAAAGCUGUGUUUAAAUGCCACUUGUUCCAUUAUGAAGAUUCAAUUUUAAAAAAUCAGCUAAAAUUCGGUAUCUUCCAUGUGUCAAGUAUCCAGGUUCUAGCCAUAUUGGUCUAGAGGAAAAAGCAAUCAGGAUUCAUGGUACAGGUGAUAUCUUUUAUUAGACCAACCAGACUUUUGCAAAAAAAAUCUUUAAUUCCAAGCUUUAUCGAAGACAUCGAAUUUUAGCCUAUUUUUAAAAUGAAAUCUUCAUAAUUUUACAAGGAGGAAGCAAGUUUGACCACCUGAAACCUGAGCUCCUGCUCCUGCCAUUGUUCGAGGUAAUUUGCAUCAUCACAGAGCCUCACCACAGAGCUUAGAGACACCUCACCACAUAAGAAAUGCCUUCCCAGGAGAGCUUUCCAUCUAUUUACUCCUCUGUGAAAUAUGAAACACCAUAACCAGAAGGAACUAUGAGCACAUCCUGCUUACCACCAAACAACUUUGAGGCAAACAGACUAUUCCAACUUUUCUCUGAGCCUAAUCUGCAUCUAAAAUGAACUGUUCCAAACAGGAGAUUUUACCACACCUUUAACUCUUCUAUGAAAUAUAAACUAUAAUUUCUACCCAGGAGAACUUUUAUAAUCUUUUCUCCUAUGCCUGAAGAAAGGUGUUUGUGUCUGAAAGC